AAUAUUGCACAAUGGGCGCAAGCCUGAUGCAGCCAUGCCGCGUGUAUGAAGAAGGCCUUCGGGUUGUAAAGUACUUUCAGCAGUGAGGAAGGUGGAUAUGUUAAUAGCAUAUUCAUUUGACGUUAGCUGCAGAAGAAGCACCGGCUAACUCCGUGCCAGCAGCCGCGGUAAUACGGAGGUGCGAGCGUUAAUCGGAAUUACUGGGCGUAAAGCGCAUGCAGGUGGUUUGUUAAGUCAGAUGUGAAAGCCCGGGGCUCAACCUCGGAAUUGCAUUUGAAACUGGCAAACUAGAGUACUGUAGAGGGGGUAGAAUUUCAGGUGUAGCGGUGAAAUGCGUAGAGAUCUGAAGGAAUACCGGUGGCGAAGGCGGCCCCCUGGACAGAUACUGACACUCAGAUGCGAAAGCGUGGGGAGCAAACAGGAUUAGAUACCCUGGUAG
rnacentral:rRNA from 1 species